ACUCCUACGGGAGGCAGCAGUGGGGAAUAUUGCACAAUGGGCGCAAGCCUGAUGCAGCAACGCCGUGUGAGUGAAGAAGGUUUUCGGAUCGUAAAACUCUGUCCUAAGGGAAGAAACAAAUGACGGUACCUUAGGAGGAAGCCCCGGCUAACUACGUGCCAGCAGCCGCGGUAAUACGUAGGGGCAAGCGUUAUCCGGAAUCACUGGGCGUAAAGGGUGCGUAGGCGGCUUAGCAAGCCAGGGGUGAAAGGCAUUGGCUCAACCAAUGUAAGCCUUUGGAACUGUUAAGCUUGAGUGCAGGAGAGGUAAGUGGAAUUCCUAGUGUAGAGGUGAAAUUCGUAGAUAUUAGGAGGAACACCAGUGGCGAAGGCGACUUACUGGACUGUAACUGACGCUGAUGCACGAAAGCGUGGGUAGCGAACAGGAUUAGAUACCCUGUAGCGACUGA
rnacentral:rRNA from 1 species